rnacentral:misc_RNA from 1 species
GGACAAGACAAGGCUGCCCAAUCUCUC